rnacentral:rRNA from 1 species
GAGGGGAGUGAAAUAGUACCUGAAACCGUUUGCUUACAAGCAGUCGGAGCGCCUUCGGGCGUGACGGCGUGCCUUUUGCAUAAUGAGCCGGCUAGUAGAUGUCACAGGCAAGGUUAAACGAUAAGUGAGCCGAAGCGAAAGCGAGUCUGAAUAGGGCGAUAAGUCUGUGGUAUCUGGACGUGAAACGGGAUGAUCUAGGCAUGGGCAGGAUGAAGCGUGGGUAACACCACGUGGAGGUCCGAACCAGUAUGGGUUGAAAACCGUUUGGAUGACCUGUGCCUAGGGGUGAAAGGCCAAUCAAAUUCCGUGAUAGCUCGUUCUCGCCGAAAUAUCUUUAGGGAUAGCCUCGGAUGUAUCAUCGUGGUGGUAAAGCACUGACUGGGCUAGGGGCCUCACAAGGUUACCGAACUCAAUCAAACUCUGAAUGCCAUGAAUGUCUGUCCGGGAGUCAGACCACGGGUGCUAAGAUUCGUGGUCGAGAGGGAAACAACCCAGACCAACAGCUAAGGUCCCGAAGUGAUAGUUAAGUGGAAAAGGAAGUGGGGAAGCACUGACAGCCAGGAGGUUUGCUUAGAAGCAGCAAUCCUUUAAAGAAAGCGUAAUAGCUCACUGGUCAAGUAGCCCUGCACCGACAAUAUAACGGGGCUUAAACUAUCCACCGAAGCUUUGGAUGCGUAAGCAUGGUAGGCGAGCACUCUGUAUCUGUGAAGCGGACUCGAAAGGGCCGUUGGAGAAAUCAGAGAAGACUUUGUCGGCAUUAGUAGCGAUAACGCGUGUGAGAACCACGCGCACCGAAAACCUAAGGUUUCCUGCGUCAAGUUAAUCUGCGCAGGGUUAGUCUGUACCUAAGGCGAGGCCGAAAGGCGUAGUCGAUGGAGAUCCGGUUAAUAUUCCGGAACCAUGGGUUUGUGAUGUGGGUUGACGCAACAGGGUAGGCAAGACGGCUGAUGGAUGCCGUUGAAGUAAAUAGGCCGUCGCUUAGGCAAAUCCGGGCGACACAAGGCUAAAUAUACGGACAAAAGUACGAAGCUUCGGCUUCGGAACAAGUUGCUGACCCCAGUUGCCAAGAAAAUUCCCGUUCAUCUAUACAAACUCCACUGGCAGUACCGCAAACCGACACAGGUAGGUGGGAUGAGAAUUCUAAGGUGCUUGUGAGAACCCUCGUUCAGGAACUCGGCAAAAUGUACCCGUAACUUCGGGAGAAGGGUAGCCUAGUGAUGAACUAGGCCGCAGUGAAAUGUCUCAGGCGACUGUUUAACAAAAACACAGGUCUCCGCUAAGUUGUAAAGACGACGUAUGGGGGCUGACGCCUGCCCAAUGCUGGAAGGUUAAGAGGAGUGGUUAGUCGAAAGGCGAAGCUGCGAAUCGAAGCCCCAGUGAAUGGCGGCCGUAACUAUAACGGUCCUAAGGUAGCGAAAUUCCUUGUCGGGUAAGUU